rnacentral:lncRNA from 10 species
CUGACAACUAAAUAUGUAGUGGGCUCUAAUUAGAUGCUUCUUCAUUUGUCUCUAGGAAAAGGACUGAAGAAAACAGACAGUGAGACUGAUCCAAAAACUCCCAUGUAUAUACAAACACAUGAAAAAUGUCACCAAAAUGUUCAUGGCAGUUACGUUACAGUUGCAUCAGGGAUGGGCUUUCAGUGCAUGACAUCUACAAGUGUACAAGAUGGUACUGGAUCCAGUGAGGAAGACAAAAAGUCUGGCAGGAAUGUGAGAGAGACUGGGAAGAAUUGGCUCAAUAUGAUGAUGGAGUUCAGAGAGCUAAAUGAAGUUCUGAGAAGUCACUGUUUAAAAUGGCUUAGCCAUGUGGAGCGGUGAAGGAAACUCAUGUUGACUGAACACCUUCCCUGGGAUGUGUGGGCUCUUGGAUGAGAACUUUCACAUUUUUCACAAUUUUUAUGUCCACCACCACCCUGUGAGGUAGGUAUCAUUAUUCCCAUUUCACAGAUGAGGAAAGCUGAGGCUCAAAAAUUGAGUCAUUGGUCUAAGAUGUACAGGGUCUAGCAGAGUGCUCGAUAAGUAAUUGUUGAAUGGAUGGACUGCACAGAUCAUGCUCUCCAAUUGGUUGUAUACUUGUGUGAUGCUUUUCCCCAGAGGUCUUUUUAUUGUUAAGAGGAUUCUUAUAUAGUUAAGUCUUGGAUCAGUCAUAACUUCCAAAAAUGUGACAGUAAUGAAAAAUGCAAAAAGUGGCUGGACAAGGAAAUGCCUGUGCUACCUUAUUUACCCCAAACAGAAAAGCUACUUAAAAGAUUAUGACUGAUUGGGAAAUGUGAUUUGGUUGGACAAAAGCACUUGAAGCUCUAGUCCCUAACAAUUCCAUCCAGGACCUCCCUGAGAGUCAGAAUUGAUGUGUGGAUUGUUUUAGUUUGGCUGUUAAUAAUAUCUGGAUGAAAAUGCCUGCCAAAACAUUUCACUGGGGGAUUUAGAAUAUGCUUUCCAAGUCUACAACUGAAGGGCAGCAGCCGAUGUUAAUGUGUGCCUGUUGGCAUUCGCCAGUUCAUCUGGCCAAAUGACAAAUCAC